GACGGAGGAUGCAAGUGUUAUCCGGAAUCACUGGGCGUAAAGCGUCUGUAGGUGGUUUAAAAAGUCCACUGUUAAAGAUUGAAGCUUAACUUCAAAAAUGCCGAGGAAACUUUUAAACUUGAGUAUGAUAGGGGUAGAGGGAAUUUCCAGUGGAGCGGUGAAAUGCGUAGAUAUUGGAAAGACCACCAAUGGCGAAGGCACUCUACUGGGCCAUUACUGACACUGAGAGACGAAAGCUAGGGGAGCAAAUGGG
rnacentral:rRNA from 1 species